rnacentral:tRNA from 1 species
UUCGAGCCUCGGCGGGGGCAAACGCCUGCGGCCGUUCCUGGUGGUCGAGAGCGCCGCGGUGUUCGGCGUGCCGCGUGAAGCC